rnacentral:tRNA from 1 species
GCUGGGGUGAUGAAACUGGUUAUACAUGGGAGACUUAAAAUCUCCUGCUCGCAAGAGCGUGUGGGUUCGACUCCCACCCCCAGCA